rnacentral:tRNA from 1 species
GCCCAGAUAGCUCAGUCGGUAGAGCAACGCACUCGUAAUGCGUAGGUCGUGGGUUCGAUUCCCACUCUGGGCU